rnacentral:rRNA from 1 species
GACGAACGCUGGCGGCGCGCCUAACACAUGCAAGUCGAACGAGCGAGCGAGAGCUUGCUUUCUUGAGCGAGUGGCGCACGGGUGAGUAACGCGUGAGGAACCUGCCUCAAAGAGGGGGACAACAGUUGGAAACGACUGCUAAUACCGCAUAAGCCCACUGUGCCGCAUGGCACAGAGGGAAAAGGAGUAAUCUGCUUUGAGAUGGAGUGGCGGGCGAUUAGCUGGUUGGUGAGGUAACGGCCCAGCGAGGCGACGGGCGGUAGCCGGACCGAGAGCUUGAACCGCCACACUACGACAGAGACAAGGACCAGACCCCUACGAGAGGCAGCAGUGGGGAAGAUGGCACGAUGGGGGAAACACUAAGGCAGCGAGGUCGCGAGGAUGAAGAAGGACGUAAGAUUGUAAGCUCCUGUUGUUGGGGAAGAUAAUAACGGAACCAAACAAGAAAGUGACGCUAAACUACUU